rnacentral:rRNA from 1 species
UACGUAGGGUGCGAGCGUUAAUCGGAAUUACUGGGCGUAAAGCGUGCGCAGGCGGUUUUGUAAGCCAGAUGUGAAAUCCCCGGGCUUAACCUGGGAAUGGCAUUUGGGACUGCAAGGCUCGAGUGCGGCAGAGGAGACUGGAAUUCCUGGUGUAGCAGUGAAAUGCGUAGAGAUCGGGAGGAACAUCAGUUGCGAAGGCGGCUCUCUGGACCAGCACUGACACUGAGGCACGAAAGCGUGGGGAGCAAACAGG